rnacentral:rRNA from 1 species
UACAGAGGGGGCAAGCGUUGUUCGGAAUUACUGGGCGUAAAGGGCGCGUAGGCGGCCUUCUAAGUCGAACGUGAAAUCCCCGGGCUCAACCCGGGAACUGCGUCCGAUACUGGAAGGCUUGAAUCCGGGAGAGGGAUGCGGAAUUCCAGGUGUAGCGGUGAAAUGCGUAGAUAUCUGGAGGAACACCGGUGGCGAAGGCGGCAUCCUGGACCGGUAUUGACGCUGAGGCGCGAAAGCCAGGGGAGCAAACGGGAUUAGAUGAACCCCG